GUACACGCUGUGACUAGCAUAUCAAUAAGCGGAGGAAAAGAAACUAACAAGGAUUCCCCUAGUAACGGCGAGUGAAGCGGGAAGAGCUCAAAUUUGAAAUCUUAAAGGGUUUCCCUUUACGAAUUGUAGUUUAAAGAAGUGUUUUCUGUUGAGGUUUUGGUAAAAGUUCCUUGGAAUAGGACAUCAUAGAGGGUGAGAAUCCCGUAUUUGACCUUUACUUUCAACUUUGUGAUACACUUUCAAAGAGUCGGAUUGUUUGGGAAUGCAGUCCAAAAUGGGUGGUAAAUUUCAUCUAAAGCUAAAUAUUGGCGAGAGACCGAUAGCGAACAAGUACCGUGAGGGAAAGAUGAAAAGAACUUUGAAAAGAGAGUUAAACAGUACGUGAAAUUGUCAAAAGGGAAGCGUUUGACACCAGUGUUGUUUUUCUGAAAAUCAAUUAAAGAACUGUUUAUGCUAAGUUGUUUAGACUUUAUCAGCUAACUGUUUAGUUUUGAGCUUUUCUUUAAUGCACUUUUCAGUUAACAAGUCAACAUCAACUUCUUUUGCUGUAAAAAAGCUUGAGGAAGGUGGCUUGAGAUUCGUCUUAAGUGUUUAUAGCCUCUUGCCUAUGCAGUCGGAGAGAUUGAGGUCUGCAGCGUAGAUCCCUUCGGGGCUAAAUGCAUUUGUGCUAAGUUAUAGCAUUUUAUAGACAACUUGUUGACUAUGAUUUGUCUUGUAGCUUACUCGCUUAUGUUAUUUUACCUACGCUUAGGAUGUUGAAGAUGUAUCACAUCAU
rnacentral:rRNA from 1 species